UUUAUGGAGAGUUUGAUCCUGGCUCAGGAUGAACGCUGGCGGCGUGCCUAAUACAUGCAAGUCGAGCGAACGGACGAGAAGCUUGCUUCUCUGAUGUUAGCGGCGGACGGGUGAGUAACACGUGGAUAACCUACCUAUAAGACUGGGAUAACUUCGGGAAACCGGAGCUAAUACCGGAUAAUAUUUUGAACCGCAUGGUUCAAAAGUGAAAGACGGUCUUGCUGUCACUUAUGGAUGGAUCCGCGCUGCAUUAGCUAGUUGGUAAGGUAACGGCUUACCAAGGCAACGAUGCAUAGCCGACCUGAGAGGGUGAUCGGCCACACUGGAACUGAGACACGGUCCAGACUCCUACGGGAGGCAGCAGUAGGGAA
rnacentral:rRNA from 1 species